rnacentral:rRNA from 1 species
CCUACGGGAGUCAGCAGUGAGGAAUAUUGGUCAAUGGACGCAAGUCUGAACCAGCCAUGCCGCGUGCAGGAAGACGGCUCUAUGAGUUGUAAACUGCUUUUGUACGAGGGUAAACGCAGAUACGUGUAUCUGUCUGAAAGUAUCGUACGAAUAAGGAUCGGCUAACUCCGUGCCAGCAGCCGCGGUAAUACGGAGGAUUCAAGCGUUAUCCGGAUUUAUUGGGUUUAAAGGGUGCGUAGGCGGUCGGAUAAGUUAGAGGUGAAAUCCCGAGGCUCAACUUCGGAAUUGCCUCGGAUACUGUUCGGCUAGAGAGUAGUUGCGGUAGGCGGAAUGUAUGGUGUAGCAGUGAAAUGCUUAGAGAUCAUACAGAACACCGAUUGCGAAGGCAGCUUACCAAGCUACUUCUGACGUUGAGGCACGAAAGCGUGGGGAGCAAACAGGAUUAGAUACCCUAGUAGUC